AGUGAACGCCGGCGGUAGGCCUAACACAUGCAAGUCGAACGGCAGCACAGUAAGAGCUUGCUCUUACGGGUGGCGAGUGGCGGACGAGUGAGGAAUACAUCGGAAUCUACUUUUUCGUGGGGGAUAACGUAGGGAAACUUACGCUAAUACCGCAUACGACCUACGGGUGAAAGCAGGGGAUCUUCGGACCUUGCGCGAUUGAAUGAGCCGAUGUCGGAUUAGCUAGUUGGCGGGGUAAAGGCCCACCAAGGCGACGAUCCGUAGCUGGUCUGAGAGGAUGAUCAGCCACACUGGAACUGAGACACGGUCCAGACUCCUACGGGAGGCAGCAGUGGGGAAUAUUGGACAAUGGGCGCAAGCCUGAUCCAGCCAUACCGCGUGGGUGAAGAAGGCCUUCGGGUUGUAAAGCCCUUUUGUUGGGAAAGAAAAGCAGCAGGUUAAUACCCCGCUGUUCUGACGGUACCCAAAGAAUAAGCACCGGCUAACUUCGUG
rnacentral:rRNA from 1 species